GAUGAAGAACGUAGCGAAAUGCGAUAAGUAAUGUGAAUUGCAGAAUUCAGUGAAUCAUCGAAUCUUUGAACGCACCUUGCGCCCUUUGGACUUCUGAAGGGCAUGCCUGUUUGAGUAUCAUGAACACCUCAACUCCUUAUGGUCUUCCAUGAUGAGCUUGGACUUUGGGGGUUUUGCUGGCCUACAGUCAGCUCCUCUAAAAUAAAUCAGCUUACCGGUGUUUGGUGGGUAUCAUGGGUGUGAUAACUAUCUACGCUUGUGGUUUUCCACCAGGGUAACCUUCAGCAGUGGAGGUUCACUGGAGCUUACAAAUGUCUCUCCUCCGUGAGGACAGCCCUUUGAAUGUUUGAUCUCAAAUCAGGUAGGACUACCCGCUGAACUUAAGCAUAUCAAUAAGCGGAGGA
rnacentral:misc_RNA from 1 species